rnacentral:rRNA from 1 species
CCUACGGGAGGCAGCAGUGAGGAAUAUUGGUCAAUGGGCGCGAGCCUGAACCAGCCAAGUAGCGUGAAGGAUGACUGCCCUACGGGUUGUAAACUUCUUUUAUAUAGGAAUAAAAUGUUCCACGUGUGCCUUUUUGUAUGUACCUUAUGAAUAAGGAUCGGCUAACUCCGUUCCAGCAGCCGCGGUAAUACGGAGGAUCCGAGCGUUAUCCGGAUUUCUUGGGUUUAAAGGGAGCGUAGGUGGGUUGUUAAGUCAGUUGUGAAAGUUUGCGGCUCAACCGUAAAAUGGCAGUUGAUACUGGCAGUAUUGAGUAGAGUAGAGGUGGGCGGAAUGCGUGGUGUAGCGGUGAAAUGCUUAGAUAUCACGAAGAACUCCGAUUGCGAAGGCAGCCUACUGGACUGCAACUGACACUGAGGCUCGAAAGUGUGGGUAUCAAACAGGAUUAGAUACCCCGGUAGUC